rnacentral:rRNA from 1 species
UACAGAGGUCCCAAGCGUUGUUCGGAUUCAUUGGGCGUAAAGGGUGCGUAGGCGGUGGGGUAAGUUGGAUGUGAAAUCUUGGGGCUUAACCUCAAAAUUGCAUUCAAUACUGCUCUGCUCGAGUUCUGUAGAGGAGAUUGGAAUUUACGGUGUAGCAGUGAAAUGCGUAGAUAUCGUAAGGAAGACCAGUGGCGAAGGCGAAUCUCUGGACAGUUACUGACACUGAGGCUCGAAGGCCAGGGGAGCAAACGGG